GAAAGUAGUAUGGAAGCCAAUUCACCAAGCUGAGGUGGAGAGUAGAAAGCUAAGGAGAACAAGAGUGGAAAGUAUGUUGAAGUUUAGAACUUCGAAGAGUAUUGGCAGAAUGUAGGCUUAAUAUUUUCAAGAGUCGAUCCCCUCUUUAUCGUUCUUGGGAGUAUUUAUAGGCCAAGGUCUUGUGUAAUAUGGUGUUAAUAUGUUGGACUUGCCAUCUAGCCAUCAUUACGGAUCACGUGAGAAGGAUGUAUUCGAUGGGACGAGGGCGCC
rnacentral:lncRNA from 1 species